AGGACGAACGCUGGCGGCGUGCUUAACACAUGCAAGUCGAGCGGAAAGGCCUUUCGGGGUACUCGAGCGGCGAACGGGUGAGUAACACGUGAGUAAUCUGCCCAUCGCUUCAGGAUAGCCAUCGGAAACGGUGAUUAAUACUGGAUAUGACAUUCCUUCGCAUGUUGGGUGUGGUAAGUUUUUCGGCGGUGGAUGUGCUCGCGGCCUAUCAGUCUUGUUGGUGGGGUAAUGGACCUACCAAGGCUUCGGACGGGUAGCCGGCCUGGAGGAGGGUCGACCGGCCACGACGUGGGACUGACGACCACCGGCCCAGACCUCCGUACGGGAGCGAGCGAGGUGGGAAUAGUUGGACAAGUGGGCGGAAGCCUAGGACUCCGAGCCGAACCGGCCGG
rnacentral:rRNA from 1 species